CUGCCGGGACGGGACGGGACACGGGGAGCCCGGCCCGCGGGCGGUGAGGGCUCGGGGCCCGGCGGUGGAGGGGCCUGGCGUCUGAGGGGUUCGGUGCGGCCCCGGGGGUGAAGCUGCCAGACCCAGCCUGGCUUGGGGAAGAGCAUCCAUCGGCUUUUUCUUAAAAGAAAUAUUAAAAAAGGGAGAACCGAGACCACCACAUGUGCUCCAAGUCGCUUAUUGUUGCGCAUUCUGGACGUUUUGUGGAAUGGCCAGCAGAGUAUUCCAGUAUUCCUGCCAGAAGCGUCCUCCCGUCACUCUCCAGCCCAGCGAAGGACACAGAGGCCCCACGUGCCGUCCGUCACCAAAGUCCGGACAAGGCUCAGUUUCUCUGCACAGAGAGAACUUUCUGUCCCGUCACACUUGCUUUCUGUCCUGCCGUGAAAGCAGUCGGUCUUCAAACGAGUAAAAACUCGUGACGUGGCUGUGCUCCUUCCUGGUUCAGAUGUACAUUGGGCUACUUGAAGUGAUGGUUUUGCUCGUAUCAGUGCUAUUCCCACCAGACUACAGCCACUUGAAUAUGUGGUCUCCUCAACACUUUGCUUGGGCUUAUCAGCGAGGCUGAGCAUCCUACUGCAUGAAACACUGAAUCCUCGUUGUCUUCAUUAAUCUGCUCGAUGAUUCUGCUUCACAUCUGGAGCCAUCGUUCGAUGUGACGCAGAGCUGCUUACUGGCUGUGUUCAGCAAGCUCUGUGAGGAAAGCUUUUAAACCGAAACAGAGGAAAGCAGCCUUGCUAUUUUCUGAUUUAUAAGGAAAAACCUGAAAGAAGCUUGCCUACCGAACUUACUCUGUUUUGUUUUGGAUCCUGUGCCAAGGACAGCUGUUCUGCCAUCAUAACGGACCAGAAGACACAACGAUUCUGCGAUUCCUGUGGAUGGAUGCUAGACAGGACAUGGUAUUUCCACAUAAAUACUGCUUGUAAACGUAAUCCUCUUUCCUUCCAAAUACCCAGGCCUACUGAUGGUGUCGUGCAGUCCAGCCUGAAGCACCCAAAGCACUGAGUAUCAGCACAAACAAACUUGGAGUCACCAGGAAAAUCAGAUGGCUUUGCUUGUUGGUGUCCUUUGGAGUACAAGCAUCCCACUGAAAGAGAUAUCCCACUGGGCUUGAUGUGUCACCAGGGACAUCCCUCCUCUGGGGAGUUUAUUGGGUGUUGGGGCUAAACUGAACUGAGCACAACCACAUGUGCCAUAUGAUGCUCAUCACCAGUUUAAACUUCUAUUAGAAAUCCUCUUUUUUGGAGGUUGGACACUGCUGGGAUGCGCAGUGUCAUCUGGUGGCACCCCUGUGUUUGCAUACACGUACCCUGAUACCACUGCCUUCUCCCCAGCCCGUCUGUAACAGAUGUUGCAUGCUCCCAAAACCUCUUUGGAAGCCAGACAGAUGUCAUGGGGAAUUUAAGCUGAUCAGCACUCGCACACAGUCAGACAUAAGCAAGCAGGCAUUGCACAGAGUGCUAGAACUGUGUUGCUCUUUUCCUUACACCAGCAAAUGUACCCAGGCUUCAGGAAAAAAAAAA